AACGAACGCUGGCGGCGUGCCUAACACAUGCAAGUCGUACGAGAAAUCUUGGGCAACUGAGAGAGUAAAGUGGCGCACGGGUGAGUAACGCGUGGGUAACCUACCCUUGAGUUGGGGAUAACUCUUCGAAAGGAGAGUUAAUACCGAAUAAUAUUCCGAUAUUUUCGAACAUUGGAAUCAAAGGUGGCCUCUGCUUGCAAGCUAUUACUCAAGGAUGGGCCCGCGUACCAUUAGCUAGUUGGUAGGGUAAUGGCCUACCAAGGCUACGAUGGUUAGCUGGUCUGAGAGGAUGAUCAGCCACACUGGAACUGAGACACGGUCCAGACUCCUACGGGAGGCAG
rnacentral:rRNA from 1 species